UACGAAGGGGGCUAGCGUUGCUCGGAAUCACUGGGCGUAAAGCGCACGUAGGCGGUCUUUUAAGUCAGGGGUGAAAUCCUGGAGCUCAACUCCAGAACUGCCUUUGAUACUGGGAGACUUGAGUCCGGGAGAGGUGAGUGGAACUGCGAGUGUAGAGGUGAAAUUCGUAGAUAUUCGGAAGAACACCAGUGGCGAAGGCGGCUCACUGGACCGGCAUUGACGCUGAGGUGCGAAAGCGUGGGGAGCAAACAGG
rnacentral:rRNA from 1 species